rnacentral:lncRNA from 10 species
GCCUCGUGAACCCCUCUCUCCAGGAGGAGGGCAUCAUGACGCACUAGACCUGGCUGCAGGUGUGCAACCAGCGGAAAUGCCCAGCCCCGGGACCAGGGGACUAGGGACAGGAGCCUACCCUGUGCGGCUCUGAGGAGUGGCUGUGAGCACUGCACGCAGGACUGAGAAAGCCCGGGAUAAGCCCGGAGUGCAGGGAAACCCGCAGCCCCCUGGGCAGAUGUGGAGAAGAAUCUGGACAAGCUGACCGAGACCCCGGUACCGGGGGUCUCCGUGUGUGCCUGGCUGCGUGAUCAGAGGUAACUCCCCUCAUCUACUUCCCGUCUCUAUGGAUUUACCUAUUUUGUGUAUUUCAUGUAAGUAGAAUCAUACAAUACUUGUCCUUUUGUGUCUGGCUUACUUCACUCAGCAUAAUGUCCUCAAGGUUCAUCCAUGUUGUAGCAUGUGUCAGAAUUUCAUUCCCAGCAAAGAAAUUUUUAAUAACCCAUCUCUGCCAGAAAAAAAGACCCCCCAAAAGUUACAGAUUAACCAUCUGUGAACAAAGGAUGAAUGGGCGGACAGGCUGACACAGUCACGUUACUGGAAUCCAUUAUGCAGUCACCGCUUGGCAUCUGCAGGAAAUUAGUUCCAGGCCCCCUGACCAAUACCAAAAUGCGUAGAUGCUUAAGUCCCUGAUAUAAAGUGAUGUAGUAUUUGCAUUUAACCUACACACAUCCUCCCACAUACUUUAAGUCAUCUCCAGAUUACGUAUAAUACCUAAUUCAAGGCCAGGCACAGUAGCUCACACCUGUAAUUCCAGCACUUUGGAAUUACAAAAAUUCCAAAUCUCCAGGCCAAGGUGAGAGGAUCACGUGAGCCCAGGAAUUCAAGACCAGCUUGGGCAACACGGUGAGAGCCUAUUCUUUUCCCCA